CAGGUUUCUCGAUAAACGAAUAUUAAACUAUUUGUUCGUUGUCGUCGAAACCUGAA
rnacentral:pre_miRNA from 1 species